rnacentral:piRNA from 1 species
UAGCUGCAUUAUCCAACGUCUCAGGCA